GCUACUGACUAAAUCACGCGGAAUGUGCCUGAUCUCAUCAGAUCUCGGAACCUAAGCAGGUCUGAGCCUGGUUAGUGGUUGAAUGGGCCACCACCACAUACAGACGGUUGUUGGAGGAG
rnacentral:rRNA from 1 species